UCCUACGGGAGGCAGCAGUGAGGAAUAUUGCUCAAUGCCCGAAAGGGUGAAGCAGCGACGCCGCGUGAGGGAUGAAGGCCCUAUGGGUUGUAAACCUCUGUAGGGAGGGAAUAAAAUCCCGUUUUACGGGAUUGACGGUACCUCCAAAGUAAGCCCCGGCCAACUACGUGCCAGCAGCCGCGGUAAUACGUAGGGGGCGAGCGUUGUCCGGAAUCACUGGGUGUAAAGGGUCUGCAAGCGGACCGGAAAGUCAGAGGUGAAAUCCUGCAGCUCAACUGUAGAACUGCCUUUGAAACUUCUGGUCUUGAGUCCGGGAGAGGAUGGCGGAAUUCCUGGUGUAGCGGUGAAAUGCGUAGAUAUCAGGAAGAACACCGGUGGUGAAGACGGCCAUCUGGACCGGUACUGACGCCCGGAGACGAAAGCGUGGGUAGCACAACAGGAUUAGAUACCCUGGUAGUCCACGCCCUAAACUAUGGGUAUGAGGUGUUCCCGUUUAACGUCGGUGCCGCAGCUAACGCAUUAAGUA
rnacentral:rRNA from 1 species